rnacentral:misc_RNA from 1 species
UGGGCUUGACAUGCACGCUCCCUUGCGGGUCCUUCCCCUUUCGGGGUCGUACCACGUGCAUGUCAAGCCCAGGUAAGGUUCUUCGCGUUGCGUCGAAUUAAACCACACGCUCCGCUGCUUGUGCGGGCCCCCGUCAAUUCCUUUGAGUUUUAGCCUUGCGGCCGUAGUCCCCAGGCGGAGAACUUAUCGCGUUAGCUUCGGCACCGAGGGGGUCGAUACCCCCGACACCUAGUUCUCAUCGUUUACGGCGUGGACUAC